rnacentral:lncRNA from 1 species
UCUUCAACUUUUGCUGCGGCUGCAUGGCCACACAUGGAACCGAGCAUGCUUGAUUCACCGUGCAGUCCAGGACCCGCAUAUCUGACCGGGGCUACAAGGUCACAAACAGACCCACAAGUGCUCGCCUUCAUGGAAAGAAUACUACAAGUGUUAAAUAGCAUGAAGCACGCCCAGCAAGCCCAUUCGCAAUAUUUCAAC